rnacentral:rRNA from 1 species
AGAGUUUGAUCCUGGCUCAGGAUGAACGCUGGCGGUAUGCUUAACACAUGCAAGUCGAACGGAAUCCUUAGGGAUUUAGUGGCGGACGGGUGAGUAACGCGUGAGAAUCUGGCUUCAGGUCGGGGACAACAGUUGGAAACGACUGCUAAUACCGGAUAUGCCGAGAGGUAAAAGGUUAACUGCCUGGAGAUGAGCUCGCGUCUGAUUAGCUAGUUGGUGGGGUAAGAGCCUACCAAGGCGACGAUCAGUAGCUGUCUGAGAGGAUGAUCAGCCACACUGGGACUGAGACACGGCCCAGACUCCUACGGGAGGCAGCAGUGGGGAAUUUUCCGCAAUGGGCGAAAGCCUGACGGAGCAAUACCGCGUGAGGGAGGAAGGCUCUUGGGUCGUAAACCUCUUUUCUCAGGGAAGAAAAAAAUGACGGUACCUGAGGAAUAAGCAUCGGCUAACUCCGUGCCAGCAGCCGCGGUAAUACGGAGGAUGCAAGCGUUAUCCGGAAUGAUUGGGCGUAAAGGGUCCGCAGGUGGCUAUGUAAGUCUGCUGUUAAAGAGUCAUGCUUAACAUGAUAAGAGCAGUGGAAACUACAUAGCUAGAGUGCGUUCGGGGCAGAGGGAAUUCCUGGUGUAGCGGUGAAAUGCGUAGAUAUCAGGAAGAACACCGGUGGCGAAGGCGCUCUGCUAGGCCGCAACUGACACUGAGGGACGAAAGCUAGGGGAGCGAAUGGGAUUAGAUACCCCAGUAGUCCUAGCCGUAAACGAUGGAUACUAGGCGUGGCUUGUAUCGACCCGAGCCGUGCCGAAGC